rnacentral:rRNA from 1 species
UACGUAGGGUGCGAGCGUUAAUCGGAAUUACGGUGGCGUAAAGCGUGCGCAGGCGGUUUUGUAAGCCAGAUGUGAAAUCCCCGGGCUCAACCCGGGAACUGCGUCCGAUACUGGCAGGCUUGAAUUCGGGAGAGGGAUGCGGAAUUCCAGGUGUAGCGGUGAAAUGCGUAGAUAUCUGGAGGAACACCGGUGGCGAAGGCGGCAUCCUGGACCGAGAUUGACGCUGAGGCGCGAAAGCCAGGGGAGCAAAUGGG